CCCUCGAUGGCCGCGAGUUGGACCAGUCCGCCCCGUCCCAGCCCAGACCCCUCCUCCGGAAGCGGGAGCCCGGGAGUAGGGGGCGCUUGGCGGCGUGCAGGAAGGCCGGGGCUCGCAUGGGGUUCUACGGGGGUUCAGACUGCAGCCUGGUCUCCUUGCUCUGCAAUGCAGCGGGCUAAGGGCAAGUCUGACCCGCCCGUCACCGCGCUGUGCAAGUGGUGCUUGUCCUCUGACUGCGGUGGAUUGGGACUUUUUAAAAACAGAUUGCGAAGCCCCCACCCGCAGGGUUUAUAGUUGUUUCUGGUGCAGGACCCAGGAAUGUGCCUUUAUCACUAAGUCUCCGAGAUGAGGACCUUCAGAAGGGUGAUCUUUCUUGGUAGCUCAGGUCCUUCCUCAUCGGUGUCUGAGCUCCUUGGUUGUCAUGAAAGACCACAGGAAUACCCCUUUCUACUCUCUUAUGCCAUGGAUGGCUUUAUGACGUUCAGUAAGGAGUCAGACCACCAUUCCCACGGGUCUCGCCAUGUAGUUCUUGCUGUCCUUGAAUUCACUGUUCAGCAGUGACAGGCUGCUUUCAAACUCACAGAAACCCACCUGCCUCUACCUCCCCAAGUACUGGGAUUCAAGGCGGAACCCUGGAACUCGGGUUCUUAGACUCUGCAGCAAGCAUCCUUACUCCCUGAGCCAUCUUACCGUCUCUCCACAACAGUUUUUGGACAGGAUCAGUAUUCCUGCUUUUUGAAACAUUUGAUAAUAGUGACCAGUGACUCUGUCUAGGAAUGGCAUCUCCUUUGUGAGCGGACUGUAAUCACCUAUCAGUUCGUUUACUUGCUUUUGAUCUUUCACACCUUUCUAUUUCUCCCUGAAUCAGUUUUGAUAGUUUAUUGCUUUUCAGGAAUUUGUUAUUUCAUUUAAUUAGUGAGUAAUUCAGAUUUCAAUAAUUUGUGCAUUUUUUCUUUAUUUAUUUAAAUAAAUUUAUUUUUAUUUUUGUGAGACAGUGUCUCGUGUAUCCCAAGCUAUCUGAAACUUCCCUUGAACUUGCUUUGACCUUGAACCCUUU
ensembl:lncRNA